AGGCUUUCAGAUUUCAUGAGAAACAGGAGCAGCAAAUACACCUGAAGAAACAUCCCUGGAGGACCAAAUAGCCUAUCAGGAUUAUCUGACACCACAGUAUCUCAUAGAGAUGGAAGCUUGCAAGGAAGAUAGAGACUUCUUACAUCUCUGGUUUAUUAUCUCUGUGACACUCACCUCAUCUACUUCUUGCAAGGAAUCAGACAAGAAGUAGCCUAGAGGGACACGUAGAUUGCUAAAGCUAGAGAAGACCCCACGGAAGACCGGUGAAAUCAUCUGGGAUAGCAGGAGAGCAGGCUGUGCUAUUGCUGGGGAAUGAGGAAAGCAAAUCUAAUUAAAGUAAAACCCCAAUUACUAACUGUUUUUCAAAAUCACACAUAUACUUAUGUUCCAAGGCCUCUGCUUUGCUCUAUUAUGGAAACCCUUGCAAAGCAAACCAACUUUAAGAUGCUACCAAGGUGGACAGUGGGUUCAGCUCCCAUUUUGUGUAUAUGAGCAUGGACAUCUCAGAGACAAGCAGAGGAGA